GAUCCUGGCUCAGGAUGAACGCUAGCUACAGGCUUAACACAUGCAAGUCGAGGGGGCAGCAUUUCAGUUUGCUUGCAAACUGGAGAUGGCGACCGGCGCACGGGUGAGUAACACGUAUCCAACCUGCCGAUAACUCGGGGAUAGCCUUUCGAAAGAAAGAUUAAUACCCGAUGGUAUAAUUAGACCGCAUGGUCUUGUUAUUAAAGAAUUUCGGUUAUCGAUGGGGAUGCGUUCCAUUAGGCAGUUGG
rnacentral:rRNA from 1 species